rnacentral:lncRNA from 1 species
AACUAUUGUCCACAAGAUCAAGAUGAACACAUAUUUCACAACCAUUGAUAAUAUGGUAAUAAGAAUACACACAUAUAUAUUGUUCACACGUUCAAACACGAGUCAAUCUACACAAAGCAAAGUUUGGCUAUCUUGGCAACCAUCCAGAAAACAAAAGUCACAUUAAAGGACCCCUAUUUGCUGGUCUAAAAUAGUUCAAACACUAAAUGGUCCAAAACACUUGAGUCACAUCCAUGAGCACAAGAUUUCUACUCCAUAAUACUUGAGCACCAAAUGGUCCAGAACACACAUACGUUCAUGAUUACAAUUAAGAUUGCUGGUCCAAAAUACUGUAGACAGCCAAAUGCUCCAUAACACUUCCAAGCCAUCACAUCCAUGCAUACUAGGUUGCUGAUUACGUGAAAAUACCCCACAAGAAUUUGGUAGAAAGUGGAGUCAGCUCAAGUGCUUUGAAGCUCGUAGGGAAAUUGGCAGCCAAGAGAAGCACAAGAAUUAAGUAUUUAUGACAUAUGUCCAUAACACACAUAACAUAGUUCUGUCAUACAUGAGGUAAGAUAUUUAUAAAAUGAUAAAAGGAAUCAUCAUGCAGACAUAUCUACAUAUAUAUAGAAUAUGCAUUUUUCCAUGGCAGACAAAUCUACAAAUUUUAUUCAACAUCUUACAUGCAACAAACUGUAGUAGGAUCAGCCAAUCUGAAGUUGUAUUUGUUCUACUACAAAGUUAGCUGAUGUAAUCUUCAAAGUUUGAAAAUAAUUGUGUUUGUACGUUAUCUGAUGAAGUAGAACGGAAAUGUACAACUUCUGACCCCAAAAACUGUAGUAUGUGAAGUUCAGUUUAUGCCAUGUGAUCUUCAGAUUGUGACCACCAAAGGGAUAACACCAAACUGAUUUGUGUAUGUUAACUCCUAUAAGCAAUGUAUGUGCGCUUCAGAUCAUGUUGUGUUAUUUUCAUAUUUUUUAUUAUAAACUGCAGUAUGUGGAGUUCAGUUUUAUGAACAAGAUACAAAAUGUUAUCUAGUAAUGCUAUAGGUUCAGGCAGAAAUGUCGCGCUUUAGUCAAGGCUCAAAAUGAUCUAGGUAUAUUUCUAAGAGAGAAACAAUAAACUUAAUGUAUGUAUUAUGUUGUAGUACCUGCACCUCCUGGUACAUUAGUUGCCAUCUUGUCAUCCUUCAUCUACAACAAUAACCAUUACUUAAUAGAAAUAAAUGUUGCCUUCUUAUCAGUUUUUUUCUAGAAUAAUCCUUAUCAGUUUGAGGCUGCUUCUUUCACUGCAAAUUGCUCUGAAAAAAUGUGUAGACAUGUAUCAACCAUCCUGCAAAAAAAAGAAAAUGUGUUCAAUAUAGAUAAAUCGGCUUCCGAAAUCAAAUCAUAAAGUAAAGGCCAAAGGUCUGCAAGUUAUUUUCAUAUUGUGUUAUUUUCAUAUUUUUUAUUAUAAACUGCAGUAUGUGGAGUUCAGUUUUAUGAACAAGAUACAAAAUGUUAUCUAGUAAUGCUAUAAGUUCAGGCAGAAAUGUCGCGCUUUAGUCAAGGCUCAAAAUGAUCUAGGUAUAUUUCUAAGAGAGAAACAAUAAACUUAAUGUAUGUAUUAUGUUGUAGUACCUGCACCUCCUGGUACAUUAGUUGCCGUCUUGUCAUCCUUCAUCUACAACAAUAACCAUUACUUAAUAGAAAUAAAUGUUGCCUUCUUAUCAGUUUUUUUCUAGAAUAAUCCUUAUCAGUUUGAGGCUGCUUCUUUCACUGCAAAUUGCUCUGACAAAAUGUGUAGACAUGUAUCAACCAUCCUGCAAAAAAAGAAAAUGUGUUCAAUAUAGAUAAAUCGGCUUCCGAAAUCAAAUCAUAAAGUAAAGGCCAAAGGUCUGCAAGUUAUGUACUUGGUUAGUAUAAUGAAUGAACUUGUCAAAAGAACAAAUAUUAUGCCAACAACCAGAAUGAACACGAACAUCUCAUAUAAGUAUUGAAUGUCUGAAUCCUGAAAUUAUCUAGCCACUGCACCAAGGUGGCGGACUCUACAAUUUGAAUUCACAUGUCCAAGCAAUGCGGUGUGAGGCACUAUGAGAAGGUGCCUCUAAGGUUUGAAUGUGAUCGGAACUUGCAAUUCUCCCCGCUGGAAACCAUAUGCAGCUUCAAGUAGUUGAAGGUAUGUGGAUGUAGAGGAAGAUGAGAGUAUAUGUUGAGCCUAAGGUUUGAAUGCUAAUGCCAUAUUCAUGCAAAAGGAAAACAACACCGUGCUCACAUAAAAAAAUUAUAUCAAAAGAUGACACUGUUAUUCAUAAAUAUUAUGUGUAGAUGACGAUGUAAUUCAAAAGUGAUGGAGAAUAAAAUUGGAAUGUGCCUCCUUAAACAUUGACUGGACUUUGGGUCCACCUCGGCGCCCUCCGCUCGCCCACCUCUCGUCCUUGCUGCCAGGUAGUAUCGCGUACUCGCCGCCCUGCAAGCUCACCAUCAUGUACACCCGCUC